CACCUAACAGCUAGCCCUAAAUUAUAAAUGCAACAAUAAAUAUUAAUAACCCCCCAACCCCGAACCCAACACAAACAAAACAUUUUCCCACCUGAGUAUGGGCGAUAGAAAAGGAACAGUAGAGCGACAGAGAAAGUACCGCAAGGAAAUGCUGAAAGAGAGAUGAAAUAGCCCAGUUAAGUUAAAAAAAGCAGAGCUUCGACCUCGUACCUUUUGCAUCAUGACUUAGCCAGCCAACUACACGCAAAAUGACUUUUAGUUUGUAACCCCGAAACUAGACGAGCUACUCCAAGACAGCCUACAUUAGGGCCAACCCUUCUCUGUGGCAAAAGAGUGGGAAGAUCUUAGAGUAGAGGUGACAAACCUACCGAGCCUAGUUAUAGCUGGUUGCCUGAAAAAUGAAUAGAAGUUCAGCUUCUUAACUAUUUCCCUCCACCAAUGUUCUAACACCUUCUGACUUGAAAUAAUUAAGAAAGUUAUUUAAAGGGGGUACAGCCCCUUUAAACCAAAAAACAACUUUGUCGGGGGGAUAAAGAUCAUAACAAACAAGGCAGGGUAUUUUAGUGGGCCUAAAAGCAGCCACCUACAUAGAAAGCGUUAAAGCUCAGACACACAUAUGCCAGAUAAUCCAGACAGCCCCUCUAAAUCCCCCAACCAUAUCAGGCCCACCCAUGUAUGCAUGGGUGUGAUCCUGCUAAGAUGAGUAAUCAGGGGCUCAUACCCCUCCCAGCACUCGUGUACCCCGGAACGGACCUUCCACCGAAAUUUAUCGGACCCAACUAAAGAGGGCACUGAACAAUAAAUAGUCAACAAGAAAAUUUUUCAAAAUAAACCGUUAACCCCACACCGGCGUGCUUAUAGGGAAAGACUAAAAGAAAGAGAAGGAACUCGGCAAACAUAAGCCUCGCCUGUUUACCAAAAACAUCGCCUCUUGCCAACUAAAAAUAAGAGGUCCUGCCUGCCCUGUGACAAAAGUUUAACGGCCGCGGUAUUUUGACCGUGCAAAGGUAGCGCAAUCACUUGUCUUUUAAAUGAAGACCUGUAUGAACGGCAUAACGAGGGCUUAGCUGUCUCCUCAUUCCAGUCAAUGAAAUUGAUCCCCCCGUGCAGAAGCGGGGAUGUAAACAUAAGACGAGAAGACCCUGUGGAGCUUUAGGCACUAAGACAGCUUAUGUGAAAUUUUUAACUAAUAAAAAUUAAUUAAUAAACCCCUGCCCUUACGCCUUUGGUUGGGGCGACCGCGGGGUAACAAACAACCCCCACGUGGAUUGAGCAGACCUCUCUCACAAUCCAGAGCCACAGCUCUAACUAGCAGAACUUCUGACCUAAAGAUCCGGCAAAGCCGAUCAACGAACCAAGUUACCCCAGGGAUAACAGCGCAAUCCCCUUUUAGAGCCCAUAUCGACAAGGGGGUUUACGACCUCGAUGUUGGAUCAGGACAUCCUAAUGGUGUAGCCGCUAUUAAGGGUUCGUUUGUUCAACGAUUACAGUCCU
rnacentral:rRNA from 1 species